CCAAUAGCGUAUAUUAAAGUUGUUGCAGUUAAAAAGCUCGUAGUUGAAUUUCGGGGCCAGUAGGUUGGUCGUGCCACUGGUAUGCACUGGUCUCACUGGUCCCUCCUUCUUGUAGAACCGUGAUGGCAUUAAUUUGUUGUUGCGGGGAAACAGGACUGUUACUUUGAAAAAAUUAGAGUGCUUAAAGCAGGCUCGCGCUUGAAUACAUUAGCAUGGAAUAACGAAAUAGGACGAUCGAACCUAUUUUGUUGGUUUCUAGGAUCGACGUAAUGAUUAAUAGGGAUAGUUGGGGGCAUUAGUAUUAAAUUGUCAGAGGUGAAAUUCUUGGAUUUAUUGAAGACUAACUACUGCGAAAGCAUUUGCCAAGGAUGUUUUCAUUAAUCAAGAACGAAAGUUAGGGGAUCGAAGACGAUCAGAUACCGUCGUAGUCUUAACCAUAAACUAUACCGACUAGGGAUCGGAUGAAGUUAAUUUUUUAAUGACUCAUUCGGCGCCUUACG
rnacentral:rRNA from 1 species